GAUGAACGCUGGCGGCGUGCCUAAUACAUGCAAGUCGAGCGAACGGACGAGAAGCUUGCUUCUCUGAUGUUAGCGGCGGACGGGUGAGUAACACGUGGAUAACCUACCUAUAAGACUGGGAUAACUUCGGGAAACCGGAGCUAAUACCGGAUAAUAUUUUGAACCGCAUGGUUCAAAAGUGAAAGACGGUCUUGCUGUCACUUAUAGAUGGAUCCGCGCUGCAUUAGCUAGUUGGUAAGGUAACGGCUUACCAAGGCAACGAUGCAUAGCCGACCUGAGAGGGUGAUCGGCCACACUGGACCGGAGACAGGGCCCAGACUCCUACGGAAGGCAGCGGCAGGGAACCUUCCGCAAUGGGCGAAAGCCUGACGGAGCAACGCCGCGUGAGUGAUGAAGGUCUUCGGAUCGUAAAACUCUGUUAUUAGGGAAGAACAUAUGUGUAAGUAACUGUGCACAUCUUGACGGUACCUAAUCAGAAAGCCACGGCUAACUACGU
rnacentral:rRNA from 1 species